UACGGAGGAUCCAAGCGUUGUCCGGAUUUAUUGGGUUUAAAGGGUGCGUAGGUGGAUAAUUAAGUCAGGGGUGAAAGCCUGCAGCUCAACUGUAGAACUGCCCUUGAAACUGAUUAUCUUGAGUGCGGUUGAGGUAGGCGGAAUGUGUCAUGUAGCGGUGAAAUGCUUAGAUAUGAUACAGAACACCGAUUGCGAAGGCAGCUUACUAAACCGUAACUGACACUGAGGCACGAAAGCAUGGGGAGCAAACAGG
rnacentral:rRNA from 1 species